CUGACAGAAGAGAGUGAGCACACAAAAGCAAUUUGCAUAUGUUUAUGUCCAAGCCGAUCUCACUGCAUUUGCUUCUCUUGCGUGCUCACUGCUCUUUCUGUCAG
rfam:Arabis alpina cultivar Pajares chromosome 6, whole genome shotgun sequence.